rnacentral:rRNA from 1 species
AUUGAACGCUGGCGGCAUGCUUUACACAUGCAAGUCGAACGGUAACAGGGUGCUUGCACCGCUGACGAGUGGCGAACGGGUGAGUAAUGCGUCGGAACGUGCCGAGUAGUGGGGGAUAACGCAUCGAAAGGUGUGCUAAUACCGCAUACGUACUGAGGUAGAAAGUGGGGACCUUCGGGCCUCACGCUAUUCGAGCGGCCGACGUCUGAUUAGCUAGUUGGUGAGGUAAAGGCUCACCAAGGCGACGAUCAGUAGCGGGUCUGAGAGGAUGAUCCGCCACACUGGGACUGAGACACGGCCCAGACUCCUACGGGAGGCAGCAGUGGGGAAUUUUGGACAAUGGGCGCAAGCCCGAUCCAGCCAUGCCGCGUGUCUGAAGAAGGCCUUCGGGUUGUAAAGGACUUUUGUCCGGGAGCAAAUACCCAGUGCUAAUAACGCUGGGGGCUGAGAGUACCGGAAGAAUAAGCACCGGCUAACUACGUGCCAGCCGCCGCCGUAAAAC